UACGAAGGGGGCGAGCGUUAUUCGGAAUCACUGGGCGUAAAGCGUGCGUAGGCUGUUUGGCAAGUUGGGAGUGAAAUGCCAGGGCUCAACCCUGGAACUGCUUUCAAAACUGCCAGACUCGAAUCCGGGAGAGGAUAGCGGAAUUUCCAGUGUAGUAGUGAAAUACGUAGAUAUUGGAAGGAACACCAGUGGCGUAAGCGGCUAUCUGGACCGGCAUUGACGCUGAGGCACGAAAGCGUGGGGAUCAAACAGG
rnacentral:rRNA from 1 species